rnacentral:rRNA from 1 species
AGAGUUUGAUCAUGGCUCAGGAUGAACGCUGGCGGCGUGCCUAACACAUGCAAGUCGAGCGAUCUUCUUCGGAAGAGAGCGGCGGACGGGUGAGUAACGCGUGGGUAACCUGCCCUAUACACACGGAUAACAUACCGAAAGGUAUGCUAAUACGAGAUAAUAUAAGAGAUUCACAUGGAUUUCUUAUCAAAGCUGAGGCGGUAUAGGAUGGACCCGCGUCUGAUUAGCUAGUUGGUAAGGUAACGGCUUACCAAGGCGACGAUCAGUAGCCGACCUGAGAGGGUGAUCGGCCACAUUGGAACUGAGACACGGUCCAAACUCCUACGGGAGGCAGCAGUGGGGAAUAUUGCACAAUGGGCGAAAGCCUGAUGCAGCAACGCCGCGUGAGUGAUGAAGGCCUUCGGGUCGUAAAACUCUGUCCUCAAGGAAGAUAAUGACGGUACUUGAGGAGGAAGCCCCGGCUAACUACGUGCCAGCAGCCGCGGUAAUACGUAGGGGGCUAGCGUUAUCCGGAUUUACUGGGCGUAAAGGGUGCGUAGGUGGUCUCUUAAGUCAGGAGUGAAAGGCUACGGCUUAACCGUAGUAAGCUCUUGAAACUGGGAGACUUGAGUGCAGGAGAGGAAAGUGGAAUUCCUAGUGUAGCGGUGAAAUGCGUAGAUAUUAGGAGGAACACCAGUAGCGAAGGCGGCUUUCUGGACUGUAACUGACACUGAGGCACGAAAGCGUGGGGAGCAAACAGGAUUAGAUACCCUGCUAGUCCACGCCGUAAACGAUGAGUACUAGUGUCGGGGGUUACCCCCCUCGGUGCCGCAGCUAACGCAUUAAGUACUCCGCCUGGGGAGUACGCUCGCAAGAGUGAAACUCAAAGGAAUUGACGG